UCAGGUGACGUCGGUACAAGGAGAUAUGGACGUUUUAAGGUCGAAAGGUCAGUGGGCUAGGCCCAACUCGGGAUCAACCGAGUUGGCCCAAAAAAAUAAAAAACGAAUUUAGGCCCAAAAGUGAGGGUGGCCGGCCAUACCUGGCCCAACCCAUGUCACUUAAUUAAUUUUUCAUGUGAUAAAUAAGACUAGAAGGGAUCAUUAGUCUUAGAAACUUCAAGAAAAUUUGAGAAAGAGAAAAACAACAAAAAGAAGAACAAAAGCUUAAAGGCCAUACGGCCAUAGCUUGCAAAUUUUUGCCCUUUGAAAUCUUUCUCCAAAAAUUAUUUUCUUGUGGUAUUUCUACUAAUUCAAGGGUCCUUUACAACUUGGUGUAAUUAUUUUGGAAGAAAGAGCACUUGUUUCUUCAAGUUGACAACUUGGUCAAGUGAAAAAGAUUGUAGAAAAAGAUUUUGGCGAACUUGAAACUUGAUUUUGGAGACGUGUAUGAAGCGGAAAAGGUCAGCAGACAGGUGGACGUGAUCCUUAGAAGCUCUACCAGCCGCACUUGACAGCGCUCCAGUUGUUCCGGAGCCUCACUCCAGCGGUACUAUUUUAUGCAUAUACAUUCGGGCUUGGUAGCACCCCGGCCCUUUCUAUGUAUAAGUGUACUAUGUCUAGAGGCUCGUAGACAGAUACGUACAGUCAGUCAGGUACAGAUAUAUGUAUAGUGUUUUGGCAUGUUAAUAUUGUUGUACAAGGUAAUAA